AUUGUCUGAAAGAAAAUAUGGUAUGUCUAAACUGGAAAAGUCCUGUAAUCUUAUGUUCAUGGGCGUUUACACAAUGGAGUUACUGUUCAUCAUGGGGGUACCGUGGACAAUCCCAGGGCUGCCGACAUGAACUUAUGAAUUCAACAGGUGAAGAUUUACUACUUGAUAAAUCAGCUUUGUGAGCUCGAGCUGUAAAAGCCAAAGGUCCGGUGAUGAUCCCAUACCCUUUUUUCCAGUCUCAUGUUGAAGAUUUUUAUGUAGAAGGCCUUCCCAAAGGAAUUUUUUUUUUUUUUUUUGAGAUGGAGUUUUCACUCUUAUCGCCCAGGCUGGGGUGCAGUGGCGCAACCUUGCUGGUCACUGCAACCUCUGCCUCCUGGGUUCAAGAAAUUCUCCUGCCUUAGCCUCCCAAGUCGCUGGGAUUACAGGUGCCCACCACCACACCAGGCUAAUUUUUGUAUUUUUAGUGGAGAUGGGGUUUCACCAUGUUGGCCGGGCCAGUCUCGAACUCCUGACGUCAAGUGAUCUUCCCGCCUCGGCCUUCCAGAGUGCUGAGAUUACAGACGUGAACCCAUGCCUGGCCAGGAAUUUUGUUUUUUAGGAAGGCUUUCUACUAAUGGAAUUCCUGGCCUUGAGAGGAUGUUACUUUCGAAGGAAAGGAUUUUUUUGUUAUUAAAAGAAACAGGACCUUGCCCUGUCACUCAGGAUGGAGUUCAGUGCUCCUAUCAUGGCUCAUUAUAGCCUCAAACUCCCAGGCUCAAGCAAUCCUACCAUGUCAGCCUUCCCGUAGCUGGGACUACAGGUCUCACACUGUCACCCAGGCUGGAGUACAGUGGCAUAACCUCUGCUCACUGCAGCCUCCACCUGCCAGGCUCAAGCAAUUCUCCUGCCUCAGCCUCCCGAGUAGCUGGGAUUACAGGAAGUGAGCUCACAAUGACUCAAGCUGCCACAUACUGUUGAUUGUGAAAUGCCGGUUGAAGUAUAUGUCCUGCGAGCUUAGGGGUGCUACAAGUUGACCACUGCAGCAGUAAAGAUGACUCUGAAGAAUGGCGUGGGAUGGAUCCUUUCAAAUGCACUUGAGCAGCGGUCUCCAACCACAGGGCCACAGAACUGGAGGUGAGCAGCAGGCGAGUGAAGGGAAACUUCAUCUGUAUUUCUAGCCCCUCCCAUCGCUUGCAUGACCACCUGAGCUCCAUGUCCUGUCAGAUCAGCAGCAGCAUUAGAUUCUCAUAGGAGCACAAACUCUGUUGUGAAGUGUGCAUGUGAGGGAUCUAGGUUGUGUACUCCUUAUGAGAAUCUAAUGCCUGAUAUUCUGUUACUGUCUCCCAUCACCCCAGAUGGACAGUCUAGUUGCAGGAAAACAAGCUCAGAGAUCCCACUGAGUCUACGUUAUACUGGAUCUACCAUGAAGGACUUCUGAAUCCAGGAAGAGAGACUGACUGGGCAACAUGUUAUUCAGGUACAAAAAGAUUUGGACUGUAACUUAAAAAUGAUCAAAUAAUAGUGCAUGCAUCAAGUGCAAUGGGAAGCUCUUCUGGAGAGUGAGAGAAGCUUCCAGUUAAGGUGACAUUGAAGCCAAGUCCUGAAAGAUGAGGAAGAGUUGUAUGAGAGUGGGGAGGGAAGGGGGAGGUGGAGGGAUGGGGAAUGGGCCGGGAUGGGAUAGCGCAAACUGCCCGGGAAGGGAAACCAGCACCGUACAGACCUGAACAACGAAGAUGGCGUAUUUUGUUCAGGGAAUGGUGAAUUAAGUGUGGCAGGAAUGCUUUGUAGACACAGUAAUUUGCUUGUAUGGAAUUUUGCCUGAGAGACCUCAUUGCAGUUUCUGAUUUUUUGAUGUCUUCAUCCAUCACUGUCCUUGUCAAAUAGUUUGGAACAGGUAUAAUGAUCACAAUAACCCCAAGCAUAAUAUUUCGUUAAUUCUCACAGAAUCACAUGUAGGUGCCACAGUUAUCUCCAUUUUAUGAAUGGAGUGAUGAAGCCUUAGGAAUAAUGAAUGAUUUGUGCAGGCUCACCUGGAUAUUAAGACUGAGUCAAAUGUUGGGUCUGGUCUGACUUUAAUGUUUGCUUUGUUCAUGAGCACCACAUAUUGCCUCUCCUAUGCAGUUAAGCAGGUAGGUGACAGAAAAGCCCAUGUUUGUCUCUACUCACACACUUCUGACUGAAUGUAUGUAUGGAGUUUCUACACCAAAUUCUUCAGUGCUCUGGAUAUUAACUGGGUAUCCCAUGACUUUAUUCUGACACUACCUGGAGUUAGCACAGACCCCACAAGUUAGGGGCUCAGUCCCACGAGGCCAUCCUCACUUCAGAUGCCAAUGGCAAGUCCUAAGUUGUCACCAUACUUUUGACCAACCUGUUACCAAUCGGGGGUUCCCAUAACUGUCUUCUUGGGUUUAAUAAUUUGCUAGAACAGUUUACGGAACUCAGAAAGACAGUUUAUUUUCUUUUUUUCUGAGAGAGAGGGUCUUAUUUUGUUGCCCAGGCUGGUGUGCAAUGGUGCAGUCAUAGCUCAUUGCAGCCUUGAUUGUCUGGGCUCCAGUGGUUCUCCCACCUCAGCCUCCCUAGUAGCUGAGACUACAUGCCUGCACCACCACAUCUGGCUAGUUUCUUUUAUUUUUUGUAUAGAUGGGGUCUUGUUGUGUUGGCCAGGCUGGCCACAAAUUCCUGGUCUCAAGUGAUCCUCCCACCUCAGCCUCUGAAAGUGCUGGGAUUACAGAUGUGAGCCACCACAUCUGGCCAGUUCAUUUCCUAUUACUGGUUCAUUGUGAAGGAUACAUCUCAGAAACAGUCAAUGAAAGAGACGUGCAUGCUGGAUGCAGUGGCUCAUGCCUGUAAUCUCAGCACUUUGGGAGGCCAAGGUGGGAGGAUCGCUUAAACUCAGGAGUUUGAGACCAGCCUGGGCAACAUGGUGAAAACCUGUCUCUAUAAAAAA